AAAACACAUCGUCCUUCUUCUUCCUUUUAUUUGGUAGGAAUUUUAUCAUUUUCAGGAAUUAAAGGUUUUUCUUCCAUAUUCUCUUCAGCUUGAUAGUAUUGAGUAAAACAUAAAUCUCAUCCAAUACUUCAUCUAUUUCCCCUCUUUUAUCAACCUUAUUGCUAGGUGAAUGACUCUUCUUUUGUUGAAGAUCUUGUAGUUGGACAUCUACGUCUAAAUGACUUAUUGAAUUUUGAGCUUCAUCCAAAACUAUAUAAUCUUCAUAUUGCAAUUUUUUU
rnacentral:lncRNA from 1 species